GAGAACUGUUAGGGGUGUCCCGAGCUUGUCGAGGGACUGAGAUUAUACCCUUUAAACCUGAUCUGGAUUAUACCAGCGGAGGGAAACAAAUGAGCCAAGAA
rnacentral:ncRNA from 2 species